rnacentral:ncRNA from 1 species
CAGAGUAGGCAUCGGAGCGUACAGUGUUCGCGGGACGGGGAGUUGUCCGCGAAACGAAGGGGAGACCCGCGGUUCCGUUGCCGCAUCCCGCUGU